CCUCUUGCUUACUAUUGGUCGUUAGAUGUCGUGGUCAGCUAUGGAGCAUGCGUACUGGGAGCGAUAUCCGGAAUGAAAUGAUCCUCCAUGAGAGCCACAAGUGAACAUUCAACAACUUGAAAACUGGAUUGAAAAUGAGAGACAGAGCAGCCACUGCAGAAGCUUCCAAAAUCACUCUGCAGCUCCUUGUACUGCUGCAAUCCACGUGGUGAAGUAGCUCCCUUGUUGCAAUUUGGUUGAUGACAUCCUUCGAAGAACAGGAGAUCUGAAGUGGACACAUUAUUCCAGAAGAGGCCCCACUGAUGUUCUGCACAAUUUCAACAUAACGUCCCACCUCCGAUACUCAAAAGGUCUGAGCAGUGAAGGCAAGCAGGCCAAACACCGACUUAACCACCCUUUCGACAUGUGACGCCAACCUCAAAGAAUUAUGGGCCUCAACCCUGAGGUCUCUCUGUUCGACAACACUAAUCCCAAGGCCCUACAUUUAAUUGUACAAAUACUGAUCUUGUUUGUUUUACCAAAAUGAAAUACCUCGUCUCUAUCCAAAUUAAACACCACCUGCCAUUCCACAGCCUCUUAACCCUAUAAAUCAAGAUCUCUUUGUAAUCUUGGACAGCCUACUUCGCUGUCCACUAUCCUGCCUAUUUUGGUGUCAUCUGCAAACUUCCUAACCAUGUCUCAACGAUUCUCAUUUAAUUCACUUUUAUUUUAUAUCAAGCCAAACAAAAUUGGACUAAGCACUGACCCCUAUGGAACACCUUUGGGGACAGACCUUCGGUCUGAUAUACAAUCCUCCACCAAGAGUUCCUGUGUCCUGUCAUUUAGCCAAAUUUGUAUCCAGUUGGCAAACUCCCCCUGAAUCCCGUAUGAUCUAACUUUUCUAAUUAGUCCACCUUGUGGAACCUUGUCAAAGGCUUUACUCUUGUCAAAAUAAAUUACGUCCACCACUCUGCCCUCAAUAAUCUUCUUUGUUACUUCUCCAAAAAACUCAAUCAACUAAUCAUUCCUUGACUCUCCAAAUACAUAAAUCCUACCUUUCACAAUUACCUUCAACUGCAUACCCAAAACCAAAGUCAGACUCACAGGUUUAUAGUUCCCCAGCUUCUCCUUAUGUCCCUUAAACGAAGGCACAAUUUUAGGCACUCUCCAGUCAUCUGGCACCUCACCCGUAAUUAUAGAUGAUACAAAUAUUUCUGCAAAGGGGCCCCCAUGUUUUCUCUUCAACUUCCCACAACAUGGUUUGAUGCACUAGAGCAGGACCUGGAGGUUUAAAGUCAGAGUGUAACACAGCAUGGAAACAGGCCCUUCGGCCUAAACUGGUCAGUGCUGACUAUUGGUGCCCACUCAGCAAGUUAUAAUUUCCUGCAUUUGGUCCAUGUCCCCCUCCAAACACUUUCCAUCCAUGUACCUACCCAAAUGUGUUUAAACGUUGCUAUUGUACCUGUCUCAAACACUUUCUCUGGCAGCCCAUUCCAAAUAUGCACCACUGUCUGUGUGAAGAAGUUGCUCCUCACAUCCUCCUUCAAUCUGCCCCCUCUCACCUUAAAUCUAUACACUCUAGUUUUCUAUUCCCCAUCCCUGGGAAAAAGACUAUGUGCAUUCAUCCUAUCUAUGCCCCUCAUGAUUUUAUUCACCUCAGUAAGGUCAGCCCUCAUUCUCCUCCAUUCCAAGGAAUAAAGUCCAAUCCUGGCCAACCUCCCCUGAGAACUUGCAUACUAUUCCUGGCAACAUCCUCGUAACUCUUCUUUGCACAUUUUCCAGUUUAACUAUGCCUUUCCUGUAACAGGGUGACCAAAACUGUACGCCAUACUGCAAGUGUGGCCUCUCCAACAACUUGUACAUCUUUAACAUAACAUAUCAUCCCAAAUCUUACAUGCAAUGCCUCGACCGAAGAAGGCCAGCAUGCUAAAUGUUUUCUUCACCACCCUGUCUAUCUGUGAUGCUGCUUUCAACAACUAUGUUAUUGUACUCCUCGGUCUCUCUGUUCCACAAUACUCCUGAAAACAUUACCAUUCACUGUAUAACUCCUACCUUGGUUUAACUUUCCAAAGGCCAACACCUCAUGCUUAACUGUAUUGAAUUUCAUUUGGCCAUCCUCACACCACUUCCCCAUCUGAUCACCAUCCCCUGUAGUUUUUGAUAACUUUCACUGUUAUCAGCGAUACCUCUUAAUUUUGUAUCAUCCGCAAAAUUACUAAUCAUGCCGUGUACGUUCACAUCCAGAUCAUUUAUGUAAGUGACAAAUAACAAAGGUCCCAGUCCUGACCCCUGUGGCACACCAUGAGCCACAGGCCUCCAGUCUGAGAACCAACUUUCAGCCAUCAUGCUGUGUUUCCUACCAUCGAUCCAAUUUCGAAUCCCAUGAGCUAUCUCUCCCUGGAUCCCACACAAGAGAACCUUCAUGACCAGCCUGGCGUAUGGAACCUUGUUAAAGGCCUUACUAAAGUCCAUAUAGACAGCAUUCGCUGCCCUAUCCUCAUCAAUCCUCUUGCUUACCUCUUCGAAAAAACAUGAAUGGAUUUGUCAGACAUGAUUCCUGUGCACAAAUCCGUGCUGACUAUCCCUAAUCAGACCUUGAAUACCCUACCUUUGGUUGAUCGACUCCCUGAAUAUCAUCUUCAAUACCUUGCCUACCACUGGUUCACUAGCCUGUAUUUCCCUGGCUGGUCUUUGCUACUUUUCUUAACCAGUGGGACAACAUUAGCCACCCUCCAGUCUUCUGGAAUUUCAGUCGUGAGAAAAGAUGAAGGGAAAAAUCUCUGCAAGGGUUUCUGCAAUUUCUUCCCCAGCCUCCCACAGUGUCCAAAGAUGGACUUCAUCAGAUCCAGUGGAAUUAUCAACCGUAAUGUGCUUUAAGGCUGCAAACGCCACCUUGAUGGUCCGAAACAUCCCCACUUGCUUCCCUUGUUUCCUUAGCAUCCAUGAUUCUCUGCUUAGUAAACACUGAGGAGAAAUAUUCAUUAAAAAUCUCCCCCACCUCUGUGAGCUGUUUUCAAACCAAAAUAUUUCUACCCCUGACUUGUCCCCCCUCCAUUUCUUUCUCAACAGUAAAACCUGAUGCAAUAUAUUCCUUUCAAAUCUCUCUCUUCUCCUGAUGCUCAACACAGAGUUGACUUCUUUCAUCUUUAUGGAGCUCUGCUUGCUCUCUCGGUGCUCUCUUGCUCUUAAUGCACUUGUAGAAGAAACCUUUUGAAUUAUUCUUAACCUUAUCAACCAAGGCAGUUUCAUGUUGCCUUUUUGCCAUCCUGAUCUCCUGUUUAAGAAUGCCCCCAACAGUGUUUACACUGUUCAAGAGAUUCAUUUCAGCCAAUUUGUUUAUAUCUAAUAAUUUUUUUUUUUUAUUCUUGACUAAAACCUGCAUAUCUUUUUCACCCAUUGUUCUCUAAUCCUACCAGCCGUACCUUUCACUCUUACAGGGACAUAAUGACUCUGAAUUAUCACACUUUUGAAAGCCUCCCACUUCAAUGUCCUUAUAACUUCAGUCUGCUCCAAUCAGCUUUUGCAAGUUACAGAACAGAAGUUGCUGGAAAAACUUAGCAGGUCUAGCAGCAUCUGUGAAGGAAAAGUCAGUUAAUAUUUCAGGUCCAUUG